rnacentral:misc_RNA from 1 species
GAUGAAGAACGCAGCGAAAUGCGAUACGUAAUGUGAAUUGCAGAAUUCAGUGAAUCAUCGAGUCUUUGAACGCACAUUGCGCCCUCUGGUAUUCCGGAGGGCAUGCCUGUCCGAGCGUCAUUGCUGCCCCCAAGCACGGCUUGUGUGUUGGGCCCCGCCCCCCGAUCCCGGGGGGCGGGCCCGAAAGGCAGCGGCGGCACCGCGUCCGGUCCUCGAGCGUAUGGGGCUUUGUCACCCGCUCUGUAGGCCCGGCCGGCGCCUGCCGAUCAACCAAACUUUUUUCCAGGUUGACCUCGGAUCAGGUAGGGAUACCCGCUGAACUUAAGCAUAUCAAUAAGCGGAGGA